GACGAACGCUGGCGGCGUGCUUAACACAUGCAAGUCGAACGAAGUGGCGAACGGGUGAGUAACGCGUAAUCAACCUGCCCUUCAGAGGGGGACAACAGUGGGAAAGGACUGCUAAUCCCGCAUACGGAUGGAGGGGUAUGCGGCGGAUUUGCUAGUUGGAGGGGUAACAGCCCACCAAGGGGAUGAUCAGUAGACGGUCUGAGAGGAUGAACGGCCACAUUGGGACUGAGAAAAGGCUCAGAAUCCGACGGGAGGCAGCAGUGGGGAAGCUUCCGCAAUGGAGGAAAGUCUGACGGAGGAACGCCGGGGGAGUGAUGACGGCCUUUGGGUUGUAAAGCUCUGUUAAUCGGGACGCGGUACCGGAAUAGAAAGCCACGGCUAACUACGUGCCAGCAGCCGCGGUAAUUC
rnacentral:rRNA from 1 species